rnacentral:rRNA from 1 species
CCUACGGGGUGCAGCAGUCGAGAAUCAUUCACAAUGGGGGAAACCCUGAUGGUGCGACGCCGCGUGGGGGAAUGAAGGUCUUCGGAUUGUAAACCUCUGUCAUGUGGGAGCAAAUUAAAAAGAUAGUACCACAAUAGGAAGAGACGGCUAACUCGGUGCCAGCAGCUGCGGUAAUACAGAGGUCUCAAGCGUUGUUCGGAAUCACUGGGCGUAAAGCGUGCGUAGGCUGUUUCGUAAGUCGUGUGUGAAAGGCGCGGGCUCAACCCGCGGACGGCACAUGUAACUGGGGGACUAGAGUGAGGGGAGGGGAGCCGGAAUUCUCGGUGUAGCAGUGAAAUGCGUAGAUAUCGAGAGGAACACUGGUGGCGAAGGCGGGUUCCUGGACAUUAACUGACGCUGAGGCACGAAGGCCAGGGGAGCGAAAGGGAUUAGAUACCCCGGUAGUC